rnacentral:rRNA from 1 species
UACGUAGGGGGCGAGCGUUGUCCGGAUUUAUUGGGCGUAAAGAGCUCGUAGGCGGUUCGGUAAGUCGGGUGUGAAACCUCCAGGCUCAACCUGGAGACGCCACCCGAUACUGCUGUGACUAGAGUCCGGUAGGGGAGCGUGGAAUUCCUGGUGUAGCGGUGAAAUGCGCAGAUAUCAGGAGGAACACCGAUGGCGAAGGCAGGUCUCUGGGCAUUAACUGACGCUGAGGAGCGAAAGCAUGGGGAGCGAACAGG